rnacentral:rRNA from 1 species
CAGUCGCCACGGUAAUACGUAGGGUGCAAGCGUUAAUCGGAAUUACUGGGCGUAAAGCGUGCGCAGGCGGUUAUGCAAGACAGAUGUGAAACCCCCGGGCUCAACCUGGGAACUGCAUUUGUGACUGCAUGACUAGAGUACGGCAGAGGGGGAUGGAAUUCCGCGUGUAGCAGUGAAAUGCGUAGAUAUGCGGAGGAACACCGAUGGCGAAGGCGAUCCCCUGGGCCUGUACUGACGCUCAUGCACGAAAGCGUGGGGAGCAAACAGGAUUAGAUACCCCUGUAGUCCCUGUCUCUUAUAC